AGCCAUGAGGGAAUAUGUGAGAAUAAAAGGGAUUAAGGCUGCAAGAUAUUUGCAGAGGGAGAAGACAGGUCGUUAAGCCUGCUCUGGUACCAUAUAGGAAAAGAUGGUUUGGCUGAAUAAAUCAAUUGUAUUCAUCGUGUAGUAAUAUAUACAAAUCACCUACCCUACGUCUGUGGUUCUCCUACAAGUUAGGAAACCAAUUAAGAAGGAAUCCUAUUACAAUUACUACUCAAACAAGAGAAAGAUACAGAAUAUUCUAGCUAAUGUGAUCUACUGCAGUAAAUACAAAAUCUGCGUGCAUAUCAAGUAAACUAAACAUGAUUAUGUAAGAUGCACUUUCCAACAGUGGGCUUCUUAAAAACUAAACCAGAUUUGUUACCUUCAUAAUAUUUGUGCGAGUCCAGGAGAUAGAGAUAUACAGGGGAAACAUCUUAGAAAAUUAAGGAAGAAAGAAAAAUUAAAGUAGAAAUCGAGCAAACAAGCUUGAUGAUCGAAUUCUAGGUAAUUUAGACCAAAUGAUAGAUAAAUAUUAAGUGAAAAUGGACCAAAUGGGUAUUAUUUGUUGGGGAACAAUCAUAUAUUUGAUUAUAAAUAUGAUAGAAAUUUCAAUAAAGAAUAUUAGAAACAUAACUAUAUACAUCUAAGAUUGUAAGUAGUAAAUCAAUCCUAAUAUAGGAGUGAAAUAGUGUAAGAAUCCUAUAAAAGAAGUAUAAAGAAAAGAAAGAACUGACUUGAUUUUCCGAUUGAGGCAUGCAAAAAUGCACUUGACUAAAGACAGAUUUCGCCCCUACCCUUGUGCUUGUAGUUCAAUGGGCGUCCGCCUUGUAGAAUACAACAAUCGAUGAUCCAAGAUUGAAGCACCGCAAUUUUAGACUCUAGCGAACCAUAAAUUGUAUCUUGUACUCUCUUGACUCGAAGAAUACUUGUAGAAGAAAUGAUGAAUCUUAAUCUAAUCUUUAAGGAGAAAUGAGUAUGGGUUUAUAUAGAACCCAAGUGAACCAACAUGUC
rnacentral:lncRNA from 1 species